GACGAACGCUGGCGGCGUGCUUAACACAUGCAAGUCGAACGGAACUCUUUGGAUCGAGACUUCGGUCAAGUGAAUCUGAGUUUAGUGGCGGACGGGUGAGUAACGCGUGAGGAACCUGCCUUUCAGAGGGGGACAACAGUUGGAAACGACUGCUAAUACCGCAUAAUGCAGCGAGAUCGCAUGAUCAUGCUGCCAAAGCUUUAUGUGCUGGAAGAUGGCCUCGCGUCUGAUUAGCUAGUUGGUGGGGUAACGGCUCACCAAGGCGACGAUCAGUAGCCGGUCUGAGAGGAUGAACGGCCACAUUGGGGACUGAGAUACGGCCCAGACUCCUACGGGAGGCAGCAGUGGGGAAUAUUGGGCAAUGGGGGAAACCCUGACCCAGCAACGCCGCGUGAAGGAAGAAGGCCUU
rnacentral:rRNA from 1 species